AUUGAACGCUGGCGGCAGGCCUAACACAUGCAAGUCGAACGGUAACAGGGAUCAGCUUGCUGAUUCGCUGACGAGUGGCGGACGGGUGAGUAAUGUCUGGGAAACUGCCUGAUGGAGGGGGAUAACUACUGGAAACGGUAGCUAAUACCGCAUAACGUCGCAAGACCAAAGAGGGGGACCUUCGGGCCUCUUGCCAUCGGAUGUGCCCAGAUGGGAUUAGCUAGUAGGUGGGGUAACGGCUCACCUAGGCGACGAUCCCUAGCUGGGCUGAGAGGAUGACCAGGCACACUGGAACGGAGAUACGGUCCAGACUCCUACGGGAGGCAGCAGUGGGGAAUAUUGCACAAUGGGCGCAAGGCUGAUGCAGCCAUGCCGCGUGUAUGAAGAAGGCCCUCGGGUUGUAAAGUACUUUCAGCGGGGAGGAAGGGAGUAAAGUUAAUACCUUUGCUCAUUGACGUUACCCGCAGAAGAAGCACCGGCUAACUCCGU
rnacentral:rRNA from 1 species